CCACAAAUUACAGUUUAGCAGUGCCAUUUGGCACUGCUAAACUGUAAUUGGAAAU
rnacentral:pre_miRNA from 1 species